rnacentral:misc_RNA from 1 species
GAUGAAGAACGCAGUGAAAUGCGAUAAGUAAUGUGAAUUGCAGAAUUCAGUGAAUCAUCGAAUCUUUGAACGCACAUUGCGCCCGCCAGCAUUCUGGCGGGCAUGCCUGUUCGAGCGUCAUUUCAACCCUCGACCUCCCCUUGGGGAGGUCGGCGUUGGGGACCGGCAGCACACCGCCGGCCCUGAAAUGGAGUGGCGGCCCGUCCGCGGCGACCUCUGCGCAGUAAUACAGCUCGCACCGGGACCCCGACGCGGCCACGCCGUAAAACACCCAACUUCUGAACGUUGACCUCGAAUCAGGUAGGACUACCCGCUGAACUUAAGCAUAUCAAUAAGCGGAGGA